UACGAAGGGGGCUAGCGUUGCUCGGAAUUACUGGGCGUAAAGGGCGCGUAGGCGGACAGUUAAGUCAGGAGUUAAAGCCCAGGGCUCAACCUUGGAAUCGCUUUUGAUACUGGCUGUCUUGAGUACGGGAGAGGUGUGUGGAACUCCGAGUGUAGAGGUGAAAUUCGUAGAUAUUCGGAAGAACACCAGUGGCGAAGGCGACACACUGGCCCGUUACUGACGCUGAGGCGCGAAAGCGUGGGGAGCAAACAGG
rnacentral:rRNA from 2 species